GGGGGUAUAGCUCAGGGGUAGAGCGCGUGCUUAGCAUGCAUGAGGUCCUGGGUUCAAUCAACAGUCCCUCCA
rnacentral:tRNA from 1 species